CCAGGAGGUUGGCUUAGAAGCAGCCAUCCUUUAAAGAAAGCGUAACAGCUCACUGGUCUAAUUAAGAGAUCCUGCACCGAAAAUGUAACGGGGCUCAAAUCAUUUACCGAAGCUUUGACAAUUACUUUUAGUAAUUGGGUAGCGGAGCGUUCUGUAAGCCUGUGAAGGUGAUGCGUAAGCAUUGCUGGAGGUAUCAGAAGUGCGAAUGCUGACAUGAGUAACGAUAAGAAAUGUGAAAGACAUUUCCGCCGAAAUCCUAAGGUUUCCUGCGUAAAGCUAAUCUGCGCAGGGUUAGUCGGCCCCUAAGGCGAGGGCGAAAGCCGUAGUCGAUGGGAAGCAGGUUAAUAUUCCUGCACCAGCUGGUAGUGACGGAUGAAGUAAAUUGUAAGUUCUUACUGGAUUGAACUUGCAGUGAAUUUGUCCCUGGAAAUAGCUCCAGCAUUAGACCGUACCAAAACCGACACAGGUAGGAAGGUAGAGUAUACCAAGGCGCUUGAGAGAACUAUGUUGAAGGAACUCGGCAAAUUACACUUGUAACUUCGGGAUAAAAGUGACCUGCUAUUGGGCAACCAGUAGGAGGUGGCACAGAAGAGGGGGUAGCGACUGUUUACUAAAAACAUAGCACUAUGCAAAGUCGAGAGACGACGUAUAUGGUGUGACGCCUGCCCGGUGCCGGAAGGUUAAUAGGAGGGGUGCAAGCUCCGAAUUGAAGCCCCGGUGAACGGCGGCCGUAACUAUAACGGUCCUAAGGUAGCGAAAUUCCUUGUCGGGUAAGUUCCGACCUGCACGAAUGGCGUAACGAUUUCCCCACUGUCUCCAACAUAGACUCAGUGAAAUUGAAUUCUCGGUUAAGAUGCCGAGUAACCGUGGUUAGACGGAAAGACCCCGUGCACCUUUACUGCAGCUUUGUAUUGGUAUUAGGGGACAGAUGUGUAGCAUAGGUGGGAGACUUUGAAGGAUUGGCGCUAGCCAGUCUGGAGUCACCAGUGAAAUACCACUCUUCUGUUCCUUGAUGCCUAACCAUACACCGUUAUCCGGUGUUGGGACCAUGCAUGGUGGGCAGUUUGACUGGGGCGGUCGCCUCCCAAAGAGUAACGGAGGCGCGCGAUGGUAGGCUCAGAACGCUUGGAAACCGUUCGUCGAGUGCAAUGGCAUAAGCCUGCCUGACUGCGAGACCCACAAGUCGAGCAGAGACGAAAGUCGGUCAUAGUGAUCCGGUGGCACUUCGUGGAAGGGCCAUCGCUCAACGGAUAAAAGGUACGCCGGGGAUAACAGGCUGAUCUCUCCCAAGAGUCCAUAUCGACGGGGAGGUUUGGCACCUCGAUGUCGGCUCAUCGCAUCCUGGGGCUGAAGCAGGUCCCAAGGGUUUGGCUGUUCGCCAAUUAAAGCGGUACGCGAGCUGGGUUUAGAACGUCGUGAGACAGUUCGGUCCCUAUCUGCUGUG
rnacentral:rRNA from 1 species